GCCUAUUCCAAAGAUCACUCUUUUAUAUUUGAAUAGAUAAAAGAGUAGAUCUUCGGAAAAGUUUUAGGAAAUUUAAGUGUAAUCAGGUACAGUAGUCAUAAGAAGAUCGAAUAAUUGUUUGAUAGUUAAAAAAAAGAA
ensembl:ncRNA F22E12.12 ncRNA